rnacentral:lncRNA from 1 species
UGAGAACAAAUCACCUCUGAGCAAGCUUAUUUGGCUCAAAAUCCCACUGAAAGUGGGCAGGGUAUUGCCCAGGCUGGCCAGCGUGUGCUACAGCUCUGUACCAAUGACUCCAGGCCCAGCAGCUACAAGACCUCUUUGAAAAUUAGAGCCAAUAGAAGACACAGAAACAUGGGCUUUUUAAACCUGGUGAUAUGAAAAUCUCUACUCCCUUCUGGUGAUAAUAAUCAGGGUUUGCAUUUGAUUUUGUUUGUUUUUUGCUUUGCCUCGAACAACUGCAUUUGGGGUAGAAUGUGCUGGUUGUCUCCCUAAUCCAGAAGUCAUGCAAAAUUAAAGACAAGCUAAACAUUUGGAAACAUUAGAGAUAUGAAUUGUUCGACCGAAGCCUGACAUCCCCAUGGCCAAAGCAUUGGUUCUUGGCUCCUCUUUAUUGUCUGAACAACUCGAAAUUCACCAGACAUUAUUUUGCUCACAAUUAUUUGGACAGCAUUCUCCUUCCAAUUAUUGCUUUGGUGAAUGUUUUACAAAGUUUUUGAAAUAGGAACAAAUUUGAUUUAUGCAUCAGAACAUAACAUCAGCCAGUUGAUUUAAUUACAGGACAGAAAUUCAUACGGGAAUGCUUAAAAGAAAUUUCCACUGUCAGUUUUGAAAAACAAAGUAAAUUCAAAACUUUAAAUCAAAAGAGAUCCAUAGUAAGCUAUGAAAGGCUAUUGUAAGGCCAACAAUAUGUAACUUAUCC